rnacentral:lncRNA from 1 species
CUACAAUGUAAAUAGUCAUGAAAAUAAAGAAAAAACCUUUAAAUGAGACUGUUAGUGUAUACAUAGAUGGCGUAAUAUUUCUGCAUUCCUGUGUUUGUAAAAUAAAUUAAAAACAAAAAAAAUCUGCACACUGAAAAAAACGUGGGAAAGAAGAAGCUGAGGUUAUUUUGUCUCUACUCUUUGUUUUACUUCCUUUAUCACCUUUCCACAUACAGUUUGUGAACACCGACUGAUAUGUAGUAUCAGUCAUUUCUGUUAUUUAACUGUAUGAACACACUCUGAACACCAAGAAGACAUGGAAGCUGUGCUUGGAUUGAUAGUGAUGUUGCUGGGAUUGUCUCAUGGUGUGGGAACUUACUGUGAUGGCAGACAGGAUGGAGCUCAGUGUUAUGGAGCUUUGGGAGGAAGUGUGGAGAUCAAGCUGAUGGACAGCACCUCAAAAAUACCUCGAUACCAUUUGUUAAAGAAUUCAUUAAAAAUACUAGAUGUGAGAAAGAAAAAGAUUCUUUCUAAUAUCAUAGAACAUAAAUUUCUCUUUUUUCCCAGUAAUGGAACAUUUAGGCUCAAUUAUCUGAGCAGGACAGACAGUGGUAAUUAUAGCCUUAAAACCUUUGAUUCGGAUGGAAAAGCAUCAGACGAGCAGACUCUACACUUGUUUGUUCAAGCUCCUGUGUCCUCUGUCCUGCUGGUCUCUGAGUGUCUGUCCCAGGAAGAGAGGAUGGUGUCCUGCUCCUCUGAGGGAGGGGACAGUCCUCAGUACAGCUGGACUCUGGAUGGACGCACACUGACAGAUGCUGAGCUCCUUUCUGCAAAUAAUGAGACUAACGUUAUCACUCUGAAACAGCACGUCUCAGGACGUCUGGUCUGCUCAGUCAGGAACAACGUCACUAAUGUUUUCAUAGAACACAGGAUGUCUACCUGUGCUCCAUCAGUGGGAUACAGACAUCAGGAUAAGUCCUUGCUUAUAUGUGGUUUGCGAGCAGUUGUGGUCAUUCUCUUGCUAAUUGGGAUUUCCAUCUACUUCGCUUGGAAAAAAAAGGAACAUGCCAAAGCUGAAGUCUCUGCUGUCCCACAAACAAGAGGAGAUCCAGAAGACUCUGUUCUGAUGGUUGAAAUGAGUUCUGCAACUUACACCAACACCUAGUGUCACCUUUUACUUGCUGUUGUUUUUGUCAUUGGUUCACAAGCAUGAAAAUAACAUUUAGAGAGAAAUUCUUGUUUCACAGACAGCUCAUAUUGAAUUAUGAUGAGACGCUCUGUGGUUUCUGGAUUUUACAUUUUUAAUACAAAUCUUUACAAUUCUUAAACAAUAAAGUCUUGAAUUAAGUUUUCU